UUACUCUCCUGUGAGGAGUUUGUGCAGUGGGACAUUUUCAGGCAAUGUGCUGUGCUCCAUUUCUGAUGCAGAUGGCCACAGCUUCACAAAACAUGCAUAAACCAUGGUUUGUUUAAUCACCUGCUGAAUUCAGCGGGAUACACCAUCUGUUAAACUGGAGUCCAAGACUCUCCUCAACACCAAAACUCUCCUAACAUCCACAUUUUAAACAUUCAAAUUCAUAUUAGAAACAUUUCUUCAGACUGUAUUCCAGAAGAUGUUCAGGGCCUUGGACUUCAUCUACACUUGUGAAAAAGCAAGAUACAGGGUUAAGGAGUGAAAAAAACAUCACACACAAAGUCUGACUUAUAUCUGGACUGCAAUCAACACUGCAAGACAGACAAUUUAAGAAUGGUCCUGGCCCCCAGCCUACUGCCUCUUCACAUCCUCUCUUGCUGGUGAUGGAGGAACUUCCAAGAGCAGCAGAGAUGAUUUGCCCUGGAGUGGAGUCAGAUUAACAGGAACAUCUGUCUCAGUCAUUCACAAAAGAGAACUGCACAGUAUCUGUUUGAACGUUACCAGUUCUUCCAAGAGCGAGCAGUCACAACUGUAUCAACAUAAUCAAUAUGCCUAAAGAAAUUAAAAUACACUCUUCUGUGGUAAGGAUGGUGCAAGUCUGUGGACAAAAUUCUUCAUAGGGGACCUCUAAGCUACUUCUGAAAGAGCUGGGAUCCUUCACAAUAAAGCCUCCUGAAGAAAUGCAGAAUUACAAUUUUCAAACCAUAAGAUAAUAUUGUCAUUGGACUGCAUUCAGUAGAACGUUUCUGAAGGUGCAUUUGGGAGCCAUGUGCUAUGACCUCUUUAGAAAAAUAUAAAAUCUAGACUCCUGAAGCCAGCAAAAAACUCUGCAAUUCAAGUGUGUUUUAUAUUGUUUUGUGCUGUAUCCUUGUAGAUCACAGCUUUGCCAUACUUAAAACCACACAAGUAAUACAACAGGGUGCUCUGACACUUGGAGAACAAUUAAAACCAUCCAUAUGGCACACUU